AGCAGCCGCGGUAAUUCCAGCUCCAAUAGCGUAUAUUAAAGUUGUUGCAGUUAAAAAGCUCGUAGUUGAAUUUCGGGAUCAAUAUGUCGGUCGUGCCUUCGGUACGUACUGGUAUCAUUGGUCUCUCCUUUCUGACGAACCAUGAUGUCAUUAAUUUGGUGUUAUGGGGAGUUAGGACUGUUACUUUGAAAAAAUUAGAGUGUUUAAAGCAGGCUUUAGCUUGAAUACAUUAGCAUGGAAUAAUGAAAUAGGACGUUCGAACCUAUUUUGUUGGUUUCUAGGAUCAACGUAAUGAUUAAUAGGGAUAGUUGGGGGCAUUAGUAUUCAAUUGUCAGAGGUGAAAUUCUUGGAUUUAUUGAAGACUAACUACUGCGAAAGCAUUUGCCAAGGAUGUUUUCAUUAAUCAAGAACGAAAGUUAGGGGAUCGAAGACGAUCAGAUACCGUCGUAGUCUCAACCAUAAACUAUGCCGACUAGGGAUCGGAUGAUGUUAAUUUU
rnacentral:rRNA from 1 species